ensembl:ncRNA lncRNA:CR45117 long non-coding RNA:CR45117
AUAUUUGCCUAGCAUAAGGAUAAUACUUUAGUAAUAAUCCAAGCGACUCUUUCAAAGGGAAUUUAAGGCAAACACGAACAAGGCAAGAAAUUAAUGAAAAUGCAAAUGGGAAGCAACAGUCGAAGAAAAGCGGGAAAACUCUUCAAUUCGCAAAUAGCGUCGAAUUUGUUCAGGUGGCCCCGCGCAGACUGUCUGUUUGGGUUUGGUCUGGCGGAGUGGCUCAGUGGGUCAACGACCUAUCCACGGAACACACCUCGUCCAAACCCUUUUGGAAUUGACCCACCGACUAUGAUAAACGAUUCGAGGCGAUUUCAUAACUGCCCCUGACACGCCCCCCAAAGAAAGAGAGCGAAACAACCUUAAUGAUCUCUAAUUAAUUUGAUUCAGGGGAUUACUUUUUGGAGGUAUUUUCCGUUUGAUAAAUUGUCGAGAUCGGUUUGUGGAAUUUGAAAUUUUUGU